ACAAGGCCCCUUGAAGCUGAGGCUCAGAAGCCUGCACAGAGACACAGCCAUUGCAGUGUUUAAACCAAAGCCAGUCACUUGGCCAGCCCAGAGAUAUCCAUAUUUGAAAACAAUCAAGGAUGUUCUGGUUGGCUGUAUAACAAGAGGAAUCUGCACAGAAUAAAGGCAGAAACCGCUC